AGCGAACGCUGACGGCAGGCUUAACACAUGCAAGUCGAGCGGGCACUUUCGGGUGUCAGCGGCGGACGGGUGAGUAACGCGUGGGAACGUGCCCUCUGGUUCGGAAUAACUCAGGGAAACUUGAGCUAAUACCGGAUACGCCCUUUUGGGGAAAGGCUUGCUGCCGGAGGAUCGGCCCGCGUCUGAUUAGCUAGUUGGUGAGGUAACGGCUCACCAAGGCGACGAUCAGUAGCUGGUCUGAGAGGAUGAUCAGCCACACUGGGACUGAGACACGGCCCAGACUCCUACGGGAGGCAGCAGUGGGGAAUAUUGGACAAUGGGCGCAAGCCUGAUCCAGCCAUGCCGCGUGAGUGAUGAAGGCCUUAGGGUUGUAAAGCUCUUUUAUCCGGGACGAUAAUGACGGUACCGGAGGAAUAAGCCCCGGCUAACUUCGUG
rnacentral:rRNA from 1 species